AUGGACCAUUCCAUCCCUUUUUCCCGUGCAUAUGCAUCGGACUCGGAUGACGAUGGUCCCGAUGAACAAGUUGAUGCGGAGGGGCUCACGGUGAAGGAGGCCGAAGCUUUCGAGAAGGUAUUUGGUCGGGAUCAUCGGACUACAUUGUUCAAGGAUGUUAGUCUCGCGGAUGAAGCCGUGGUAGAUGGUGGCCAAUGUGUACCUCUUGGGGUUAGGCCAAGCUCUCAC
rnacentral:rRNA from 1 species